AAAGGAGAGCAGCAGCGACGGGUGAGUAAAGCACAAGGACUUGUCCCGAAGAGGGGGACAACUGUGGGGAAACCACAGCUAAUACCCCCAUAAGCCGAGAGGUGAAAGCAGUAAUGCGCCUUAGGAGAGACUUGUGUCCUAUCAGGUAGUUGGUGAGGUAACGGCUCACCAAGCCGAAGACGGGUAGCCGGACUGAGAGGUUGUACGGCCACAUUGGAACUGAGAGACGGUCCAGACUCCGUACGGGAGGCAGCAGUGGGGAAUAUUGGGCAAUGGGGGCAACCCUGACCCAGCGACGCCGCGUGAGGGAAGACAGCCUUCGGGUUGUAAACCUCUGUUGCAGGGGAAGAAGAAAGUGACGGUACCCUGCGAGGAAGCUCCGGCAAACUACGUGCCAGCAGCGGC
rnacentral:rRNA from 1 species